CUCUAGAACUUUUCACUAGUGGGGAGCAACAAAACAUAUUAGAACUAACAAACUUACAAUGGACAUUUAAUAGUGGUUUUCCUUUCUAUUCUAUUUUUUAAAAUGUAAAUGGAGUAAAUGAUAAAAUGUAGACUGAAUUUAUCAUAAAGACAUUUUCUUUUGGUAUACUGCAAGGAACUAUGAACUUUUAGUAACUACUAUAAGCAACUGACAGGAAAAAAUGGCAACAGAAGAAGGAAAGAGGAGAGAAUGGGGAGCAGACACUAAGGUGUAGUGAAAGGAGGAAAAUGAAGGCUAAGUCUAAUGAUGUGAAUCCUCUUUGCAAUUCCAUCAAAGGAGGGAUCUUCCUACUGACCAGAAGACCUGAACAGCCUGAGAAUGAUUCCUUUCAACUCCGAGAGAAGAAGCUGCAGAUGAAGAGCAAUCCUGGGAUACAUGUGCAGAAUGUGCAGAAUGUGUACAUAGGUACACACUACCAUGGUGGUUUGCUGCACCCAUCAACUCGUCAUCUACAUUAGGAUACUGUUUACUGAAAACCCACCAAUCUGAUCUUUUAUGAGAAGCUAGUCCCUGAAAAGGCCCUUGGAUCAAAGGUCAAAAACUUGAAGCACAGAGUGGGAUGUCAGAUGCCAAGAUUUAAAUCUAGUCAUUUGAUUCCAGAGCCCACAUUCUUAAAUAAUAUGCUACACUGACCUUUAUUGUCUUUAAACAUUAUCUUUAUUUAAUGUGUUUCAUAGAAAUUACUUCUCAGGUAUUCCUAAAUUUAUUUUUAAAAAUAAUGUCAUGCUAUCACUAUAAUAUAGUUUUUUAAAUUAACUUGAGAGGUAAUGUAGUAUGAUCAACUUCCUUAAUGGCCUUUUAAACUGGAAAUAACUAUUAAAUAUUUUAAUAUUAUAAAUUAACAGGCAAAAUGGUGAAAAAUCUAACAUCUGGUUCUUAAAAGUAAGUUGAAAUAUAAGAUCAGAUUUGAAUGCACAUGGAAAAAUAGAACUGGCAAAUAAUGCCAUAUUUGAAGAUCUUUUAGUAUUCUCUGGUAUUUUUCCUUUCAUUUCAAAAUUGUUAUAUUCUUUUUAAUGACUUCAAAUGAAUUAGGAAAUGUCAGGCUUCUAAAAAUCAAACAGAACGUCCAACCAGUAGAUUUCAUUCAGGGCAGUGGGAGCCUGUUCGGUUGUUUCCUCUUUCCCCCUCACUUUUAAAAAUCCUCAAUCACUGCCAUUUCUCUUCUCAGCUUUCACAACACUUUACAGGCAGCUGAAUGAAAGGGCAGAAGCUUCCUCUGAAACUCCUGUUAUUUCAGCUCUAAAAUCAGCUGAAAAGGAUGCCCUCCCCAGAGACAGAAAUGCAUUCCCUCCAUCAUGAACCUGCAAUGCCCUCAGGUUGUGGCAAGGGAGAAGUUUAGCACUUGAACCUAGAUAACGCUAUUUUUUUAAUCAAAGUGCACCAUUCUUGUUUCAUAUGGCCUGUGGCACAAUUUAUUUAAAACAAUAUGGUGCAUCAAAGAAGGUAAACAAUAAUAACAAUAAUAAUAAUAUAGGAAUAGCAAUGUGCACAUAAAUAAUAUAGGAAAACACAUGGCCUCAGUACCUUCAUGAAAUGGGACUUCAAUAUACAUAUUUCUUAUACAGCUUUAUGCAUGACUUCAUUGCACUUCACUGCUCUGUUGUGUCACUCUACCAAUAAACCUAUACAUCAUACUGAGUGAAGUAUGUUCACAGUCCCUUUACUUGACAAAAAAAAAAAAAAAAAAAAAAAAAA
rnacentral:lncRNA from 1 species